UACGUAGGGUGCGAGCGUUAAUCGGAAUUACUGGGCGUAAAGCGUGCGCAGGCGGUUUUGUAAGCCAGACGUGAAAUCCCCGGGCUUAACCUGGGAAUGGCAUUUGGGACUGCAAGGCUUGAGUGCGGCAGAGGAGACUGGAAUUCCUGGUGUAGCAGUGAAAUGCGUAGAUAUCAGGAGGAACACCGAUGGCGAAGGCAGGUCUCUGGGCUGACACUGACGCUCAUGCACGAAAGCGUGGGGAGCAAACAGG
rnacentral:rRNA from 1 species